rnacentral:lncRNA from 1 species
CCUGUAUGUGCCAUUGAUGAAACGGGCAAAGGAGUGUUGGAAUCCCUGCAGUUGGUGCAAGCUGAGUUGGCUGAGGAAAGGAAUCGGUUGGCAUCUGUGAAAGAGAAGUAUGACUCGUUGAAAGUUAGCUAUCAGAAAGCGCUGGAAAGACAGAAGAUGAGUGAGAAAAAACUGCAGGACUUGAAGGGAAGUCUGAAUUUGGCGAGAGAAAAGGAAAACGAUAUCAAUCAUUCAAAUUUGGCAUUGGACUUGAACGGCUAUCAACCACGCUCGCUCAUGGAGAUGGAGGGGUUGACUUCUCGCAGAGGCACCGGCUCAGUAGAAGAUCUGACACGCUGUGUUCAAGAAGAGUGAAUAGGUCGAAGCAGUUGGAUGAUACGUUGAUCACCAGCCUUACGCCAACCAAACAUUGCGCGCCACAAGCAUCAUCAGAAUCCCAUGCUAUGCUGAUGGAGUCCGUAUUGAAUUAUCAGGUCCAGAUUCAAAAUCUGGAAACGCUCCUGAAUGAGGAACGGAAGAAGGUUAAAGAUCUGCAACUUAAGCUGGAUAUUGUCGAACAGGUAUCGACGAAUAUAACAACGUAUCAGGAUGAUCGAUUAGUCAAUAUGACCGUUGAAUUGUCCACGUUUAAAGAAAAAGUUCCGUUCUUAGAACUAGAGUUGCUGGAGAGUCAAACGCAAGUCAAACAGUUACAAACCGAUUUGUUGGCAAGGAAGAGGUUGUGUUUUCAACUACAGCAAGAGACAGCGCUUUUGGUAGAGAGUCAUCAGAAGGAGCUGAAUAAAAUUCUAGAUGCCAAAGUUCAUUUUGAGCUUUUAUAUCAGAAAGAGAAAGCAAAGUGCGAGGAGCUACAAGCUCAAAUCAAGUCUUCAAAACCAGUACAACACGACUCAAUGAAUGAACAACAUCUCAGGGAAAAACUGAACGAAGAACAAGAGAGAUGUAUCAAGCUGGAAGUGGAGCUGGACCAGCAUAAACGGUAUCUAACAGUUCUGAAAAGCAUCAUGGAAAAGGAGGCAUCAAAAUCAAAUACAUUGGAAAAAGAUUUGGAUACUCUAAACAGCGUAAAACAAGCCCUGGAGCGGCAGGUUGUGGAGCUCGACUGCCUGAACAGAACCGAGAAGAAAAAGAAUCAAAGUCUAGAAGCUAAAAUCAAAGCUGUCGAAGAGGCAGAUAUCAGACGACAAAAGCGAAGACUUCAAGUCGAACAAACUCAUAAAUUAGCCCUCCAGCGAGCAUCAAAUGUUCAGAAAGAAUUGGUGGAGGAAUGUGACCGACUAAGAAAGGAGUUAAUUUUGUCCAACGAACUGAAUCAAACUGCUCUGAGCCGAAAAAUGCAUCUCUCGUCAGGUGGAGCAAAAGGAGACAAGAACUCUACAGAGCCAGUGCUCAACGUUGUGUCUUUCGAGCACGCUAAACAACUCAUCGAGAAGCUUAGCGAAGAGCAAGCUGAUUUCAAACUUUCAAUUGGAAGGCUUCAGGACUCAGUAACGCGGGCCCUCGAGGAGCCGCAGUCGGCCUCCAAACUCAUCCUCGACGCAUCAUCCUUAAAGUUACUGAUCAGCCGGUUGGACCGCGCCGAGCGCUACCGGCGCGCCCUGAUCUGGCAGAAACGCUUCUUGCAGAUAGCCUACAGCACCCAUCUGGAGAAUCAAGCGGAACAACUAGACUUGGUCCAGAGCUGCAGCUACUACGAAACGUACAAAAAAGGAAAGCCAAAGAGGCGCAACCGAUUCAAGGCAGUUGCAAUCAUGUGCGUGUUCAUCCGGAGGAUCAGGAACAUGCAUGCGCGGCACUCAAGCCCGUUUAGACUUUCGUCAUUGUAUAGCGUCCCAGCGCCAUUGUAG